rnacentral:rRNA from 1 species
CAGCAGCCGCGGGAAUACGGAGGGUGCAAGCGUUAAUCGGAAUUACUGGGCGUAAAGCGUGCGUAGGUGGUGGUUUAAGUCCGUCGUGAAAGCCCUGGGCUCAACCUGGGAAUUGCAGUGGAUACUGGGUCACUAGAGUGUGGUAGAGGAUAGUGGAAUUUCCGGUGUAGCAGUGAAAUGCGUAGAGAUCGGAAGGAACAUCUGUGGCGAAGGCGACUAUCUGGGCCAACACCGACACUGAGGCACGAAAGCGUGGGGAGCAAACAGGAUUAGAGACCCCUGUAGUCCCUGUCUCUUAUAA